GGGGUACGGGAUUAGGGUUCGAUUCUGGAGAAGGAGCCUGAGAACGGCUACUACAUCUACGGAAGGCAGAGGCGCGUAAUUACCCAAUCCUGACUCAGGGAGGUGGUGACAAGAUAUAACAACAACUAUGCAAUCGUGAUUGUAGUGAGGGUAUUCUAAACCGAACCACUAGUACGAUUAGAGGGCAAGUCUGGUGCCAGCAGCCGCGGUAAUUCCAGCUCUAAUAGCGUAUAUUAAAGUUGCUGCAGUUAAAAGCUCGUAGUUGGAUUUCAGGUAGUAAACUCCUCUCGGAGGUAGGCUUCCUACUAGUCUUCGGACUGUUACUGUGAGAAAUUAGAGUGUUUAAAGCAGGCUCAUGCAGAUACAUUAGCAUGAAUAACGAAUGAGUCAUGAACCUGGCAACAAGAGGAGGGGGGAGAGACAGAGGGGGCAUCAGUAUUUAAUUGUCCACGCUGCAACUCCUCGACUGUAAAGACUACGUAUGCGAAGCAUUUGCCACGAUCGUCUCCACUCAUCAGACGAAGAUAGGGAUCAAGACAUCCACCCCUGCCGUAGUCCUAUCUAUAACUAUGCGACUAGGAUUGAUGCAUUUACAUUCAGUACUUAUGAGAAAUCAAGUCUUUGGUCUGGGGGAUAUGUCCAGACUGAACU
rnacentral:rRNA from 1 species